GAGUUUGAUCCUGGCUCAGAAUCAACGCUGGCGGCGUGCCUAACACAUGCAAGUCGAACGCGAAAGGGGCUUCGGCCCUGAGUAGAGUGGCGAACGGGUGAGUAACACGUGGGUGAUCUACCUCUGAGUGGGGGAUAACGUUCCGAAAGGAGCGCUAAUACCGCAUGACGUUCUGGGUUUGAAGACCUGGAAACCAAAGUCGGGGACCGCAAGGCCUGACGCUUGGAGAGGAGCCCGCGCCUGAUUAGCUAGUUGGUGGGGUAAUGGCCUACCAAGGCGACGAUCAGUAGCCGGCCUGAGAGGGCGGACGGCCACACUGGGACUGAGACACGGCCCAGACUCCUACGGGAGGCAGCAGUGGGGAAUUGUUCGCAAUGGGCGCAAGCCUGACGACGCAACGCCGCGUGGAGGAUGAAGGUCUUCGGAUUGUAAACUCCUGUUGAUCGGGAAGAAUGGACUUCGGAUAAAUACUCCGGAGUAGUGACGGUACCGAUUGAGGAAGCCACGGCUAACUCUGUGCCAGCAGCCGCGGUAAUACAGAGGUGGCAAGCGUUGUUCGGAAUUACUGGGCGUAAAGGGCGCGUAGGCGGUCGCCUAAGUCGGACGUGAAAUCCCCAAGCUUAACUUGGGAACUGCGUCCGAUACUGGGUGACUUGAGUUCGGGAGAGGAAUGUGGAAUUCCAGGUGUAGCGGUGAAAUGCGUAGAUAUCUGGAGGAACACCAAUGGCGAAGGCAGCCUUCUGGGCCAACACUGACGCUCAUGCACGAAAGCGUGGGGAGCAAACAGGAUUAGAUACCCU
rnacentral:rRNA from 1 species